UACGAAGGGGGCUAGCGUUGUUCGGAUUUACUGGGCGUAAGCGCACGUAGGCGGAUAUUUAAGUCAGAGGUGAAAUCCCAGGGCUCAACCCUGGAACUGCCUUUGAUACUGGAUGUCUUGAGUAUGGAAGAGGUGAGUGGAAUACCGGGUGUAGAGGUAAAAUUCGUAGAUAUUCGGAGGAACACCAGUGGCGAGGGCGGCUCACUGGUCCAUUACUGACGCUGAGGUGCGAAAGCGUGGGGAGCAAACA
rnacentral:rRNA from 1 species